AAUGUGAUGGUGAAAGUCUCCUUUUAACAAAAGAAAAAAAUCCUCUCAUCCCUAGGUUAUCACAUCUCUCUUCAUCUGCCUGAAAUCUUACUUCAGAUUUACUUCAUCUGCCUGAAAUCUUACUUCAGAGAGGAGACCAGGUCUCCUUUCAGAGGACGCCUUUCAGACCCAACCUUGGCAUUUGUCCAACAAACUGGAAUUACUCUCAGAACUCCUUUGACACUAACACCACACAGCUGGCUAUGGUACCGUGGAAAGGACCCUGGCUUCCAAGGCUCCUGCUCUGGGCAGUACUCCCGGCUCUGCUAUGUCCUAGCUACACUCCGAGUGAGUCUUUAACCUUCCUCACCCUAAAUAGAGCACACACAGAGUCCUCGGAUUAUUGAUUAGUUGGAAGACCUUGAGGGUAGAGAAGAAUUUUUUCCUCUCAGAGGCCAAGCACGCCACUCACAGAAGGGCUUUCUAUUCGCUCAAGUGUGACACCAGAGGAAGGCUGGGAUAUCGCCAUCCGCGCAGCAACGCCGAGGUGCUUCAUGUGUGUACUUCAUCUCCCCGGUCGAGAGACUGAGGCUUGGAGAGAUUAUUUUUCACCCAAGACCAUUAAGCAACUUCUGAUGUGUGAUUUCUGGAUGCCCAAAAGGAGAGAGUAAUCAUCACGUGUCUUUCCUCUCCAAUUCCCAUCCUUCAAACCUCAUCAUGGGCUCUCGGUGCCAGGCACAAGGCAGGCUGAUGGUGCAGAUGGAAUCACAGUGGAUUUUACCCCCUGGCAUCUUUGUCACUCUUUGGUUCAGUCUCUCAAAGGUUUAACACAGAAAGGCACACUAUGUAUUAACUCAUUUAAUGCAAGUUUCAAAGUGGUAAAAAAAAAAUAGACAAAGUACAAAUGCUAAGCUAAUCAUGAAAAUAAUGAUUUUAAGCUGCUCUAAGUCAACUGGUUCAAAUGACCAUCAGCUACAUGUUUGAGCUCUCAUUCUACUAUAAGAUACACGUGUUCAGUAAACAUUAGCCAAAUUGCUUGGUUCCUGAC